rnacentral:rRNA from 1 species
GCAGUCGAGCGACAGAUAAGGAGCUUGCUCCUUUGAAGUUAGCGGCGGACGGGUGAGUAACACGUGGGUAACCUACCUAUAAGACUGGAAUAACUUCGGGAAACCGGAGCUAAUGCCGGAUAACAUAUAGAACCGCAUGGUUCUAUAGUGAAAGAUGGUUUUGCUAUCACUUAUAGAUGGACCCGCGCCGUAUUAGCUAGUUGGUAAGGUAAAGGCUUACCAAGGCGACGAUACGUAGCCGACCUGAGAGGGUGAUCGGCCACACUGGAACUGAGACACGGUCCAGACUCCUACGGGAGGCAGCAGUAGGGAAUCUUCCGCAAUGGGCGAAAGCCUGACGGAGCAACGCCGCGUGAGUGAUGAAGGUUUUCGGAUCGUAAAACUCUGUUAUUAGGGAAGAACAAAUGCGUAAGUAACUGUGCGCAUCUUGACGGUACCUAAUCAGAAAGCCACGGCUAACUACGUGCCAGCAGCCGCGGUAAUACGUAGGUGGCAAGCGUUAUCCGGAAUUAUUGGGCGUAAAGCGCGCGUAGGCGGUUUCUUAAGUCUGAUGUGAAAGCCCACGGCUCAACCGUGGAGGGUCAUUGGAAACUGGGAAACUUGAGUGCAGAAGAGGAAAGUGGAAUUCCAUGUGUAGCGGUGAAAUGCGCAGAGAUAUGGAGGAACACCAGUGGCGAAGGCGACUUUCUGGUCUGUAACUGACGCUGAUGUGCGAAAGCGUGGGGAUCAAACAGGAUUAGAUACCCUGGUAGUCCACGCCGUAAACGAUGAGUGCUAAGUGUUAGGGGGUUUCCGCCCCUUAGUGCUGCAGCUAACGCAUUAAGCACUCCGCCUGGGGAGUACGACCGCAAGGUUGAAACUCAAAGGAAUUGACGGGGACCCGCACAAGCGGGGGAGCAUGUGGUUUAAUUCGAAGCAACGCGUAGAACCUUACCAAAUCUUGACAUCCUUUGAAAACUCUAGAGAAGGAGCCUUCCCCUUCGGGG